UACGUAGGGGGCAAGCGUUGUCCGGAAUCAUUGGGCGUAAAGAGCGCGUAGGCGGUCCGGUAAGUCAGCUGUGAAAGUCAAGGGCUCAACCCUUGAAAGCCGGUUGAUACUGUCGGGCUAGAGUCCGGAAGAGGCGAGUGGAAUUCCCGGUGUAGCGGUGAAAUGCGCAGAUAUCGGGAGGAACACCAAUGGCGAAGGCAGCUCGCUGGGACGGUACUGGCGCUGAGGCGCGAAAGCGUGGGGAGCAAACAGG
rnacentral:rRNA from 1 species